rnacentral:rRNA from 1 species
GAAGCUUGCUUCAAUUGCCGGCGACCGGCGCACGGGUGAGUAACGCGUAUCCAACCUUCCGUUUACUCGGGGAUAGCCUUUCGAAAGAAAGAUUAAUACCCGAUGGUAUCUUAAUGACUCAUGUACUUAAGAUUAAAGAUUUAUCGGUAAACGAUGGGGAUGCGUUCCAUUAGGUAGUAGGCGGGGUAACGGCCCACCUAGCCUACGAUGGAUAGGGGUUCUGAGAGGAAGGUCCCCCACAUUGGAACUGAGACACGGUCCAAACUCCUACGGGAGGCAGCAGUGAGGAAUAUUGGUCAAUGGACGGGAGUCU